CAGCUCGUUUUCAUUCCUCAUUAAACAGAUAGCGUCCAUCUUUCCAUUUAAAGGGAGCUCCAAGAACAGAUUCUGUGAACGAUUGUUCCCUAAAUAGUGAUCACGAGCGUGGGAAAACAUGUGUCUGCAGUGAGUCUGAUUAGAUGUGAUGACCGAGUUAGGAAGAUUGCAUCUCUGAGGGCAGCGUUUCUUCCCAAGGCCUGAUCACCUUGUGUCAGUUUUGUCCGGGGUCUGUUCACUUGCCAAGGCGUGAAGGCUGGAGAACGGAGAUGGCUCAGCAGGCCAAAGCAGCCGUCAGUCUAACAAGAGGUCUGUGUUGAACCCUUGCUUCUCACUCAGGCCUGGAGCAGAUGCUGGAGUGGAUGAGGACGGAGCAAUGGCCUUUCAAAUGGAGGAGGAGACUCUGUCUGAAUGCCCAGCUGCUGGUGUUUUGACAGAUAAUACACAACCAGGCGACGGGAGCAGCGCAUGCAGAGGUCGCCUUGACUUGUUAGCAGAUGUGAUUUCAGAAACUACUUGCUGACUCAGAGGCAAGAAGGAAGUAAAAAUCUCUGUGGCUGGCCAAAGAACUGCAAGGCUGUCAAAGUCUGAGUGACGCGGGCCUCUUAACAGCGGCCAGCUUGCUCAUUUGCCACGUUCAUUAAGUCUAGACUGAAGUCUCUACUCAAACUCGGAGAAUGAAUGAGUCACGUGAAUCACUUCCGGGCCUCACACCCUGAACCGCGUGACAAAAGGACUAGCCGCUUUCCCUGGCCCGAGGACCCGUUAUCCACCUGAUUUGUUACAAGACCACAGUCUGGACUAGAAGAAAGGCCACUGCAGGAUCCUCCCGUGCACCACGCCCAUCUUUGUUCAAGAAGGCAUCUGCACACAUAGGACAGACAGACUUGGACUGCAUUAAAGAACAAACCCAAACUGGCCGAGCAAUAUUCCUUCAUGGUUUCCAAUUCAGUUCCUGACUCCUGCUUUGAAUUCCUGCCUCGAGACUCCUGCUUUGAAUUCCUGCCCUGCCUCCCUCAAAGAUGGUCUGAAACCUUUCCCAAGAGGACUUAGAUGGCUUAAGACACGGAGUACAUUUUAUUUCCACCUUCUCCUCCUGCCCCAACCCCUGGAUAUCGAUUGGGGUGAGCAUGUGACCUAAAUCGUUCAGCCAGAAAAUCUUAGGACUUGUUCAGAAGGCUGUGAAGAAGCUCUCUUUUCUGCACAAUGCCCUGUGAGGAUACAGCACAGGACCUGAGCCCGCACACGGCCUGCCACACCAGGUGCUGUCCUUCACAUCAGAAUUACCAAGAGGAUCCAAUAAAGAUGGAAAUGGACGGCUGAGAUGGCUCAGCAGGUAAAGGUGUUUACUGCCAAGCCUAACCCCUCAGUUUGGCUCAGGGACUCACAUACUGGAAAGAGAGACCCGCUGGUGACCUUCACAUGCCCACCAUAAAUGAGCAUGUGCUCUCAUGCAUGUGCGCACACUGUAAUAAAAUAUAGUCAUCUAUUCA